UACGUAGGGGGCUAGCGUUGUUCGGAAUCACUGGGCGUAAAGCGCACGUAGGCGGAUCUUUAAGUCAGGGGUGAAAUCCCGAGGCUCAACCUCGGAACUGCCUUUGAUACUGGGGAUCUCGAGUCCGGGAGAGGUGAGUGGAACUGCGAGUGUAGAGGUGAAAUUCGUAGAUAUUCGCAAGAACACCAGUGGCGAAGGCGGCUCACUGGCCCGGAACUGACGCUGAGGUGCGAAAGCGUGGGGAGCAAACAGGG
rnacentral:rRNA from 1 species